GGUUAAGCGACUAAGCGUACACGGUGGAUGCCCUGGCAGUCAGAGGCGAUGAAGGGCGUGCUAAUCUGCGAUAAGCGCCGGUAAGGUGAUAUGAACCGUUAUAACCGGCGAUACCCGAAUGGGGAAACCCAGUGUGAUUCGUCACACUAUCAUUAACUGAAUCCAUAGGUUAAUGAGGCGAACCGGGGGAACUGAAACAUCUAAGUACCCCGAGGAAAAGAAAUCAACCGAGAUUCCCCCAGUAGCGGCGAGCGAACGGGGAGGAGCCCAGAGCCUGAAUCAGCAUGUGUGUUAGUGGAAGCGUCUGGAAAGGCGCGCGAUACAGGGUGACAGCCCCGUACACAAAAGCGCAUAUGCUGUGAGCUCGAUGAGUAGGGCGGGACACGUGGUAUCCUGUCUGAAUAUGGGGGGACCAUCCUCCAAGGCUAAAUACUCCUGACUGACCGAUAGUGAACCAGUACCGUGAGGGAAAGGCGAAAAGAACCCCGGCGAGGGGAGUGAAAAAGAACCUGAAACCGUGUACGUACAAGCAGUGGGAGCCCCACCACUAAGCCAGUGGUGAACUCCACAUACGCAUCCUUUGCUGAGGAGACGGUUAACGGAGCGAAAGCGACGUUCAACCUCAAAAGAAGCAGAGGGGGCUUAGUGGUGGGGUGACUGCGUACCUUUUGUAUAAUGGGUCAGCGACUUAUAUUCUGUAGCAAGGUUAACUGUAUAGGGGAGCCGGAGGGAAACCGAGUCUUAACCGGGCGUUAAGUUGCAGGGUAUAGACCCGAAACCCGGUGAUCUAGCCAUGGGCAGGUUGAAGGUUGGGUAACACUAACUGGAGGACCGAACCGACUAAUGUUGAAAAAUUAGCGGAUGACCUGUGGCUGGGGGUGAAAGGCCAAUCAAACCGGGAGAUAGCUGGUUCUCCCCGAAAGCUAUUUAGGUAGCGCCUCGUGAAUUCAUCUCCGGGGGUAGAGCACUGUUUCGGCUAGGGGGCCAUCCCGGCUUACCAACCCGAUGCAAACUGCGAAUACCGGAGAAUGUUAUCACGGGAGACACACGGCGGGUGCUAAUGUCCGUCGUGAAGAGGGAAACAACCCAGACCGCCAGCUAAGGUCCCAAAGUCAUGGUUAAGUGGGAAACGAUGUGGGAAGGCCCAGACAGCCAGGAUGUUGGCUUAGAAGCAGCCAUCAUUUAAAGAAAGCGUA
rnacentral:rRNA from 1 species